rnacentral:rRNA from 1 species
GACAGAGGUGCCGAGCGUUAGGCGGAAUCACUGGGCUUAAAGCGUGUGUAGGCGGGCGGGCAAGUACCUUGUGAAAUCCCACGGCUCAACCGUGGAACGGCUGGGUAUACUGGUUGUCUUGAGCCAGCUAGGGGCGAGCGGAACAGACGGUGGAGCGGUGAAAUGCGUAGAUAUCGUCUGGAACGCCAAAGGUGAAAACAGCUCGCUGGGGUUGUGCUGACGCUGAGACACGAAAGCCAGGGGAGCGAACGGG